rnacentral:misc_RNA from 1 species
UUCACCAUUCGUCAUUUGUAUUAAGGAAGUAUUUGUGGAUACCGGUACCGUCAAGUGGUUCAACGAAACCAAGGGCUUUGGUUUCAUUUCCCCGGACAACGGCGGCGACGAUCUGUUCGCCCAUUUCUCGGAAAUUCGCGGCACGGGCUUCAAGACCCUGGCCGAAGGCCAGAAGGUCAGCUUCGAAGUGAAGCGUGGCCCGAAGGGUCUGCAAGCGUCGAACAUCACGCCGCAGUAAGCCGCAUCGGCAGCGGUCGCCGAUCGGCGGCCGUUGCCGG